UGGCUCUGGCAUNGAUGAAGAACGCAGCGAAAUGCGAUAAGUAGUGUGAAUUGCAGAAUUCAGUGAAUCAUCGAAUCUUUGAACGCACAUUGCGCCCCUUGGUAUUCCAUGGGGCAUGCCUGUUCGAGCGUCAUCUACACCCUCAAGCACUGCUUGGUGUUGGGCGUCUGUCCCGCCUUUGCGCGUGGACUCGCCCCAAAGUCAUUGGCAGCGGUCUCUGGCACCUCAACGCGCAGUACAAUGCGUUCAUUGGGGUGCUGUGGGCGCGACCAUAAAGCUUUUACCGUCUUUGACCUCGGAUCAGGUAGGGAUACCCGCUGA
rnacentral:misc_RNA from 1 species